rnacentral:rRNA from 1 species
AGUCGAGCGGGGGAAGGUAGCUUGCUACUGGACCUAGCGGCGGACGGGUGAGUAAUGCUUAUGAAUCUGCCUAUUAGUGGGGGACAACAUCUCGAAAGGGAUGCUAAUACCGCAUACGUCCUACGGGAGAAAGCAGGGGAUCUUCGGACCUUGCGCUAAUAUGAUGCAGCNCUAACGUCAAGAUUAGCUAGUUGGUGGGGUAAAGGCCUACCAGGGCGACGAUCUGUAGCGGGUCUGAGAGGAUGAUCCGCCACACUGGGACUGACACACGGCCCACACUCCUACGGGAGGCAGCAGUGGGGAAUAUUGGACAAUGGGGGGAACCCUGAUCCACCCAUGCCGCGUGUGUGAAGAAGGCCUUAUGGUUGUAAAGCACUUUAAGCGAGGAGGAGGCUACUUUAGUUAAUACCUAGAGAUAGUGGACGUUACUCGCAGAAUAAGCACCGGCUAACUCUGUGCCAGCAGCCGCGGUAAUACAGAGGGUGCGAGCGUUAAUCGGAUUUACUGGGCGUAAAGCGUGCGUAGGCGGCUUAUUAAGUCGGAUGUGAAAUCCCCGAGCUUAACUUGGGAAUUGCAUUCGAUACUGGUGAGCUAGAGUAUGGGAGAGGAUGGUAGAAUUCCAGGUGUAGCGGUGAAAUGCGUAGAGAUCUGGAGGAAUACCGAUGGCGAAGGCAGCCAUCUGGCCUAAUACUGACGCUGAGGUACGAAAGCAUGGGGAGCAAACAGGAUUAGAUACCCUGGUAGUCCAUGCCGUAAACGAUGUCUACUAGCCGUUGGGGCCUUUGAGGCUUUAGUGGCGCAGCUAACGCGAUAAGUAGACCGCCUGGGGAGUACGGUCGCAAGACUAAAACUCAAAUGAAUUGACGGGGGCCCGCACAAGCGGUGGAGCAUGUGGUUUAAUUCGAUGCAACGCGAAGAACCUUACCUGGCCUUGACAUACUAGAAACUUUCCAGAGAUGGAUUGGUGCCUUCGGGAAUCUAGAUACAGGUGCUGCAUGGCUGUCGUCAGCUCGUGUCGUGAGAUGUUGGGUUAAGUCCCGCAACGAGCGCAACCCUUUUCCUUACUUGCCAGCAUUUCGGAUGGGAACUUUAAGGAUACUGCCAGUGACAAACUGGAGGAAGGCGGGGACGACGUCAAGUCAUCAUGGCCCUUACGGCCAGGGCUACACACGUGCUACAAUGGUCGGUACAAAGGGUUGCUACACAGCGAUGUGAUGCUAAUCUCAAAAAGCCGAUCGUAGUCCGGAUUGGAGUCUGCAACUCGACUCCAUGAAGUCGGAAUCGCUAGUAAUCGCGGAUCAGAAUGCCGCGGUGAAUACGUUCCCGGGCCUUGUACACACCGCCCGUCACACCAUGGGAGUUUGUUGCACCAGAAGUAGCUAGCCUAACUGCAAAGAGGGCGGUUA